GUCGCUUUGGCCGAGUGGUUAAGGCGUUUGCCUGCUAAGUAAAUGGGUUCUACCCGCGAGAGUUCGAAUCUCUCAGGCGACG
rnacentral:tRNA from 1 species